rnacentral:lncRNA from 1 species
AUGGAUCUCGGCCCGCGGGACCGCUUGGCUCCUCCGCGGGAGGCAGGCGGGGACCGGAGCCCUCUUCCGAUCCAACUCCGAGCGGCGACCGCCUCCUCCGAAAAGCCGCCCGAGAGGAGGGCGGGACGCGCCGGGGCCGCGGGUGCCGAGCGCCAGCAGCCCGCGCCGUGUGUGGUGCGGCGAGGGGUGGGGAGGAGGCGCGGGCGGGGGAGGGCUUUAUUUUUUCCCUCUUUUCCUAAAAAGGAUGACUGCUACGAAGUUCUCCCCCCUGGACCCCCUCUUCCGCUGCACCCCACCGGCGCACCCCGCCUCCGGGCCGCGCACCCUUUCUCCUCCUCCUGCUCCUGCGCCGCGGCGCCGGCGGCGGCCGCCCCUCCGCGCUCCCGCCGCGCUCCCGCUCCCGCGCCCGCGCCCGCUCCCGCUCCGGGCGAUGACGGCCGCGCCGGCGGGGAGGGCCCGGCGCCCGGCACCUUCGCAGGCAGCGGCGGCGGCGGCGGCGGCGGCGGGCGGGGAGGAAGGGGGCGGGCGCGGGCGGGCGGGGGGGCCUGGCCUCUUACUUCAUUCUCUCUGAGCGACUGGUUUCCUGUACGUACGUCACACGGUUCAUUCAAAAAAAGAAGAAAGAAAGAGCCCUCCUCGGAGCCGCCCGCCCCGCCGCCCGCCGCCCCGCCGCCCCGCCGCCGCGCUCGCCUUCCCGGGUUAAAGGAGCCGCGGCCGGGCCGGGAGCGGCGCGCGCCCCGCCGAGGACACAUGGCGCGCAGGCCCGCGGCCGGGGAGGGCGCGCCCGGGACGCCCCCGCCCGCCAGCCCCGCCCGCCCGCCCGCUCGCUCGCCGGGCCCGGCCGGUGGGUGGCGCGGGCGGCGCAGGCCUCCCGCGCGGCCGCGGCGCGGUGGGUGUGCGAGGGGCCUCCUCGGGCCUGCGAGGGGCGGGCGCGCCCGGGGCACUGCUGCGCGCGGGAGCCGCGCCGACCCCUCGGGCCGCGUGUGCGUGCGCGUGUGCGUGUGCGUGUGCACACAUCGCGGUGCCGGCUGCCGGCAGCUGCCGGGCGGAGACCCAGGCCCACGCCGGCCCCGAGCGGGGGCGCCGGGCGAUGCCCUCCGGCGGGGCGGGCCGGGGACGGGCCGGGGACGGGCCAGGGAAGCCCCCGGCGAGCGCCGGGUUCACUCGCAAGUCGCGUCCCAGGUGUGCGGGCGCAGCGCCCGCCCUGGAGACGCCAUCCGUGCCCAGGGCCGGACACAGCUCUGCGCGGGCCGGGAGGGGCGAGGCGGGGAUGUCAAGGGCUUGCAAACGGCUAAGUCCAUGUUUGUCCUCUGCCCCCGAGGGUCCUGGCGCUAG